rnacentral:rRNA from 1 species
GCGAUGGUCGGGCGGGCUGGCGCGGUGAUACGAAGGGUGCAAGGUUUACUCGGAGUUGCGGGGCGUAAAGGGUGCGUAGGUGGUGGUUUAAGUCUGUCGUGAAAGCCCUGGGCUCAACCUGGGAACUGCGAUGGAAACUGGGCGACUAGAGUGUGGUAGAGGGUAGCGGAAUUCCUGGUGUAGCAGUGAAAUGCGUAGAUAUCAGGAGGAACAUCCAUGGCGAAGGCAGCUACCUGGGCCAACACUGACACUGAGGCACGAAAGCGUGGGGAGCAAACAGGAUUAGAUACCCUAGUAGUC